AAAAAGUGCAGCCAGCAAACCCUCCCCCUCUCCCUUGCUGCCUUCUUCCCCUUCUUCCUUUUCCAUCUUCAAGACUGACAUGGAUAUUUGAUCCCUCUCUCUCUUUCUUCACAUUGAAUGCACUCUGUGUCCUUUUACUCUCAUUCACCUCAUAUCUCUUCCUCGUAUGCACCGCCAUUUUUGUUUACUCUCUCCUGUCUCUUUAUGCCUUAUCAUCUUUUUAUCUAAUUUUCAUCAUCCUCACUUCUCCUAAGCUUCUGCUACAGGACAAUCAAACGCAAGCUUAAAAACUUAAACCCAUUACCUUGGUUUUAGCACCCUUCAUUUCAUGGCAACCACUACUACAACCACAACACAACUCAAAAUCCAAAACCACCUCUCCAAACCCAAACGCCGCAAGUGCAAAGAAACAACCAUCUCCUCCUCUGCUACUCCUAACAAUAACAAUCAUAACACAACCGACUGUGUGAACCGGAAACUUGACCCGCCCACCAUUGUUUCUCCCCAAGAUUCCUGGUGCUGUCCGGCUUCCAAGCCUCUCACACCUGCAGCACCGCCCCCUCCUUCACCCCCACCGCCUCGACGUUCUCCCACAAUCACUAUCCACCAACCCCAGCCUGACUCCUUACCAUCUUCGCCGUCUGAUUCUCCAUCGACCUUCAAGAUCCGUUUCUCUCCUGGAAGUCUUUCGCCAGUAAUGGAUUUCACAGUGUCGACGACAAAUGGUCAGUCUUCUAAUGAUUCCUUCCCUUCCAGCUUCACUAAGUUCAACUCUGCGCUCUCCGCGGGACUCUUGAAUCCAAUGUCUCCGCCACCCCCGCCCGACAAGACUCGAUCCAGUCCAACCCUUUUCGAGAUGAUGGCCAGCGAACCCGACAUCAACCUAAGGACACAGACCCAGAUCUCACAGUCCAACAAUACCGCUGUUACAACCCAAAAAACGCCGACCCAGGUUGUCCUUUCGGCUCAGGAUAAGCAAGCACUGACCAUGCAGCGAAUAUCGGACCUUUUGGGGAUUCGAAGCCCCGGGAACCAGUUUAACGACCCGAUAUCCAGCGAUAUCAAGCUUACCCUGAGCUCGAAGGAUGGGAUUAGUGUUUCCAUGAAUGUGCAUAAGCACAUCCUUGUGGCUCACAGUAGGUUUUUCGCUGUCAAGCUAUCGGAUCGGUGGGCAAAGCAGGAGAGGCCAUCCUCUCAGCCGUACAUUGUGGAGAUUGCGGAUUGUGAUGACGUGGAGGUUUAUAUCGAGACCUUGAGGUUGAUGUAUUGUAAUGAUCUGAGGAAGAAGCUUAUGAGGGAAGAUGUGCCCAGAGUUCUUGGGAUUUUGAAGGUUUCAGCAGCUAUUGGUUUUGAUGCUGGGGUUUUAUCCUGUUUGGAGUACUUAGAAGCUGCGCCAUGGGCUGAGGAUGAAGAGGAGAAAGUUGCUUUGUUGCUAUCGGAGCUACGGCUUGAAAAUGUUGGGGCUGGGGAAGUUUUAAAGAGGGUUUCUGUUGAAGUUACUAAUGGAACUGAAGAUGGUAAUGACAAUGAAGAAGUGCUUCUCAAGCUUUUACAUGUAGUUCUUGAAGGCAAAGAUGAAAAGGCAAGGCGUGAGAUGAAAGGAUUAGUAUCAAAAAUGCUUCGUGAGAAUUCAUGUCAAAACGAUCUUCGUAAGGAGUCAUUGUACUCGGCUUGUGAUGCGUGUUUGCAAUUGCUUCGUUGCCAUUUUCUCCAGGCAGCAGCUUCUGACUUGAAGGACGUGGCUCAGAUUGCAAGACAAGCAGAUAAUUUGCAGUGGAUUUUGGAUAUUUUGAUCGAUAGACAAAUUGCAGAGGAUUUUCUGAAAAUUUGGGCUUCUCAGUCUGAGUUAUCAGAAGCACAUUCAAAAGUUCCAGCUGUUCAUAGGUACGAGGUUAGCAGAGUUACUGCCAGGCUAUUUGUUGGAAUUGGGAAAGGCCAAUUGCUGGCUUCGAAGGAUUUGAGGUGCUUGCUUCUACAGACAUGGUUGGUACCAUUUUAUGAUGAUUUUGGGUGGAUGAGGAGGGCAUCAAAAGGCCUUGAUCGACAUUUAAUUGAGGAUGGUCUUAGUAAUACAAUUCUCACUCUGCCUCUAGCUUGGCAACAGGAAAUUUUGCUUUCUUGGUUUAAUAGAUUCUUGAACUCUGGUGAAGAUUGUCCCAAUAUACAGAGAGGCUUUGAAGUUUGGUGGAGAAGGGCCUUCUGGAAACGAAGUGGUGAACAGGAGCGGCCAAGACAGUUAAGAAUUACAACUGCAACAAUUCAGAAUCCUUAGAUCUUUCCUCUGACACUGCCAAAAAUCAUGCUCCCUUAUGGAGUGUCAGAGCUAAAGAUUGCUCUUUGGUGGUUGGUGGUAAAUUUUUGGGAGGAUCCUGGAAUUGGGAUACAUAACUUUUGAAAUGAGCUUUUGGUUUGAGGCAUAUAUAACACAUUAAAGAUUCAACUUUGGCUGAUCCUGGUUCUAGCUGGGUUUUGCUCUACCUCGCUGGACAUUGCAGGUGUAUUUGUUCAUAUAUAGUAUACAGACCAAGAGUUUCCACUGCAUGGAAAUUUUACAACAUCACCUAGGCUUCAUGCUGCGCUAGGGAAGGGGUAGGUGGCACUUUUUGGGAGUGCCAUGUGUCCAUAAUAAUCUAUUAUACCAGAGAGAAAAUGUUUGUUGCACCGCCAUAAGAGAAUGAAGAGGGAAAGAGGAAGAGGAGAAGAAGCCGAGUGGUUUUGUGGCGACACAUUUGUGAGGGCAAAACAAAAUCAACCUUGAGUCCGGAGUGGCAGCACCAUCCCGGAGUCUGAACAAAAUAGGAGCUACUCUGUUUAUGUGAGUGAGGCAGAGGAGCUACUCAGUUCACAUUGUUAGAAACUGGGACCAAACCGGUUAGGGAACAUGGAGAACGGCACUGGCAAGACUGAGGGCCUUAGCAAAAAGGUUGUUUCAAAACCAUGGUAAAUGACGUUUGGAAUAAACCGGUGGAGAACAGCACUGCAAGUUACAGACUUUCCAAGAAGAUUUUCAGACUUAAACAGGAGAUUAAAAAAUGGACAAAAGAUGUGGGAAUGAAGGAAGAAAACAGAAUUAAUGAAUUAAUGUAGGAGAUGGAUGUGCUUGACAGAAUGGAGAGUAAUUCUCGGCUGACGGCAGAAAUCAACGAGAAAAGAAACAAUUUGAGAUUGGAACUUGCUAGCAGGCUACACAAAAAUAGAGUAGCUCAGAAAAUUUAACUGAAUGUAUGAUUCAAUUAGAGAUUUAAUUGUUAGACAUCACUCACAAAAACAGAGUAGCUCAGAAAAUAUCUUUGUA